rnacentral:lncRNA from 1 species
GUAAAAUCUGACCUGGAUUUCCUAUUCCCAGGGCCCCGCCCUUCAGAAUUGCGCAGACUCAGUGGCUGCCUCUCUAAGUCUUCCUACUCCCGCCUCCUGCAGCUGUCAAAAUCCGGAUUCCAGACUUCCUUAGGGCCCGGGACACAGGUCUACGCAUGCUCAGCAUCAACCCCGGUCGAACACAAACACGUGCUUCCAGCCUAUCGGCGCCUGCGCCGUAGCAACCCCAGUUGGUGCCCUUAGGACGCUUCGUGUGCUCUGACUCCAGCGGUCUGUGUGAGCCCAUUUGUGAUCCGCGUCCUGCGCAUACACCUUGCGAGUGACAGAGCCAUGGGUCUGACCUCCCAUUCCAGCAUACGAGGUGAAGUGGGGCCUGGGAGCGGGUGAGGCUGGCGGCCUGCGCACCGGUUGCAGCGCCCGCAGCUCUUGUGGUUUGUUAUCGCUGUCCUACACGCCUGCAGGUCCUUUAACCUUGAGAUGCAGAAGGACAUGCGCUCCGCCCGGCUGCGGGCUCUGGACUGGACCAGCGAAAGGAGCGAGGUCAGGGUGCGGAUGGAUGGUCACUAGGCAUAAGUAGCGCGGGGCCAUGCAGUGUCUACGCAGCUCUGAUACUUGUUUCCCUCAACUAGUCAAACCCUAACACAUAGUGAUCUCGCUGCUGGCUUUUCUUGUUUUCCCCCAAAUUGCUUUUGUGUCCUUAAAUCGCUGGGCCUAGAAAAAGGAAAGGUGAGCGGUAAAACAAACAUGUUCUCCUUCUCACGUUGAAAUCGACAUGGAGCCAGAAAGUUAAUUUCCUGCAAUCCUGAAGCCGUGCAUGACUAAUCACAUCUUAAUUUUGCAGAUUUUUUUAAGGUGAAGAAACCCAAUCCGAGGUCUUCUGUUUUCCCAGUUUUUUAUUAUGCCCCUUGCAUCUGGCGUUCGGUGGCUGUAGUCCAAGAGAGAGGAUUAAAAACCAAGUUCCUUGAUCCUUCCUUCAGCUUCCACAGUCGUCCUUCUCUGUACUAGUACCUAACGUUUGGAAACAAUACUUUGCAGAAAGUCCAAUUAAAGUUAAGAGAAUUAUUUAUAAAAUUUGCCUAGUGUGGAGUUCACUUUAUAACAAUAUUAAUGAUACUAUAUUUGUUAAUAUAACACCCUCCUCAUGCUACAUGAUAUAUAUGAUCUGUCUGUCCUGGUAUAAAAUGCAAAGUUUGGCUACCUGUAAAUGUAUCCAGUAAAGGUAAAGAGCUUGUCCAGAAGUAAUUAAAAUUGGUACAAUUGAUUCAUUCAGUAAAUUCUGAGCAUUUGUAGUACCAGGUUCUGUAAUAAGCCCCUACUAACUUGAACUCUAAUUUUGUAUUAGAGAUAGUCCGUAAGUUGGAGAGUUCUACUUCUUUUGACAACAUUUACUUGGAAGAUAGGGGGGAAAAGUUCUAAGUUAAUAAUAAUAAAAAGGUGAUUAUUUGCAAAAAUUAUUUGAAAGGAUCAUCAUCUGGAGGCAUCUUGUACAUUUAAAAUAUCGAGUUAUAUCUAUGGUUUUGGUUUUUAUAAAAACUUUUGUCAAGAAUAAGACUUUGGAUAAAAUAAAAUGCUCAUGUGACUUAUGCUGCCAAUAUUUUUAAUUUUAUAGAAAGACUGCACAUGGGCCAAAAGAUUCCAAAAUGUGUUUUUGUUUAAAAUAUGGGACCAUUUUGUGUAAAUAGGCAUUGAAAUCUAUUUAACUCUAUUUCAGGGGCUUGUUUGUUAUGGUAUUAGGGAUUGAAUCCAGGGCCUCAUGCACGGUAGGCAAGUGAUCUACAUCCCAAACCCUUCAUCUGUUUUUAUUUUGAGAUAGGUCUCUCUAAAUUGUCCAGGCUAGUCAAACUUUUCAUCUUCCUGCCCAGGCCUCUUGAAUAACCAUGACCACAAUUGAACUUCAUUUAGGUAGCAUUUUGUGGAAUCCCUAGGACUUCUUAUCACUAUGUACAGGUUAAUUUUUCCUGUAAGCAAGACAAGUGUUUUGUUUUUGUUUUUUAAGUCUUAACAUAAGGGAGUUCAGGGAUGAGUUUUCCAUUAGUUUAUCAUUGAGUAAAGGAUACAAAUCACUUGGUGAAGCUGAUUGUUAACUAAAACUUUAAGUACACAACUUCAUUAUGUGGAGUAACUACUUUUUAUUUCACUGAUAAGCAUAAAGGUUGUUGUGGGGGCCCAUAGGGAGAGGCCCAGAGGCUUUGUAAAUCUCUCUGACAGUACUUCCUUCUCAAAUAUAGUGGCUGGCAAAGUAGAAACAGAAAAGAAUUUGGUUUGGAAGAAUAAACAUCCCUACACCCCAUUAAAGUUUGUUUCUUCUCUCUCUCUUCUCUCUCUCCCUCUCUCUCCUCUUUCUCCUCUCUCUCCUCUCUCUUCUUUUUUUUUUUGAGGUACUAGGAAUCAGAGCCUCAAGUAUACCAGCCCUCUACUCAAUUUUCAAAACAAACCUAUUAGCUUCUAUAGAUUUGAAGAUCAAUUUGAUCUUUUAAUUUAGGGGAAGAUGAUCAUACCUGUUCUCAAUUAAGUGAAUUCAUAAUUAUAAAAGGCUUAGAACAUAGUAUGUGACAAUGAUAACUUAUAUGUUGAAUAAAAAGUAAAAGUAUAUGUAUAUACAUUCUGAAUUCUUUAUAUUCAGGGAAAAAGAAAAAGUAAUGAGUGGGUUAUAAAUAAGAGUAAAUGGGGAUCAGGCCAGGACUGGAAGUAGGCAAUGAGAAUGAGUGAUUGCAAUUGAAAUCCUGUCAAAGAUCUUUGCCCAUGUGAUGGGUCUUCUUGUCGAUUUGGUUGAUGAGACCAUUAAUUCAUUAUAGUUUUUAGCACUAAGUGACAUUUCCUGCCUGCUUCCCUAAUCUCUUAGGAUUCUUCCCUGUGCCUUCUAAAUGGACCUUCCAGAACUGACCGGGCUAUUUAAUAUCUCCAGGAGACAUUGAAUCCAUUCUCAUCCUUAACCCCUUUGCUUCUGUUGACAAGAAAAAUAUAAUUCUUGAGGCCAUUCUCUUCCCAUGUCCUCCAGAUACCUUAAUUCUUGCCUCACUGAUACUUAUCACUUUUAAAUCUUUAGCCCCUCAUAAUGGUUUUCUUCUCUUCAGCCUAAUUUGCCUUCAUCUUUAGAAAGAAAAAACAAAAGCAAAAAACAAUUGAACUAAGUAUUUUAAAAGGGCUUCUUUAACCAGACUUUCCUUUAAAACAUUUAUACUCACAAGUGGCUUUACCCCCAAGUUACAAAAUAGAGAUUUAUCUGUUCACCUUCCCCUUCAUUAUCCAUCCCAAACCCUAAUCAUUAGAAUGCAUAUAACCCAAACCUUAUGUAAAUCUUGCCUGACUUUUGUAUCCUUAUAUAUUUUAUUGAAACUAAUUCAUAAUUUCCCACCUCAUUUAACUUCACCAAAUUGAUUGAGUAAAUUCAUUAAUUCCUUGAAAGUAAUGCUUUAAGGAAUUCUUUUUUUCUGAGAAAGGAUAUGUAAAUCAUACUGAGGAUAAAGCUGUAGCUCCGAUAGGUUAUAAACAACAAAUAAAUAAUUAGAGGGUGGGAUUUGGAGCUAUGGGCAAAACAGGAUUGGUCAUCUGUUGAUAAUUGUUGGAACUUGAUGAGGGUAAAUGAAUUUUUCUUUAUCCUGCAUGGUCUCUAUGUAUGUCUGAAAUAUUCCAUACUAAAGGGUUUUUUGUUUGUUGGGGUUUUUUUUAUUUUAUUUUUUUGUUUUUUAUCUGAAGAAGUAAAUUCCACACUUUACUACAGUAGGUUAAAAGAAAGGCAAAGAUAAGUCAUUUGGUAUAAGGGUAAGACAUUUGGCAUAGGAAUGAUAAGACAGUUAAGGCCGGACAGAUGAAAUUGCAAAUUCAAAUUAGUCCAUUACUUCUACUCAACUCACAUUGAACUCCACCAGUACACCAAGCCUUGAGAAGAAAACAUUACCAGAUGCCACCUCCAGUCUGUGCAAAAUCUCAGGGAAGACUGGGUUUCAACACAGCUCCCUUCCCCCUCUCCUGAUAGACAAGAAUGUUCUGAUUCUGUGGCAGUUGACAGUGGGUAGGAGAAGGCAGUUUGAGGCAGAAAAGGGGCUGAAGGAAAAGAAGAAGGGUGAGAUUUCCAAGUUAAAGAAAAAAAUAAUCCUCAUGAUAAAGAAAAUCUGAGGAAUGGAUUGUAAAUAAGGGUGGGGGAUUCGGGGUCAAGUCUGUGUUUUCUCCAUCUCCGAAUAAUUUUGAGAGAAAUCUAGAGAUUAUAUAAUAGUCCAAGGGAAGAAAGAGGGAGUUUAGAAAUGUUUAUGUUCUUUAAUGGAAGAUAAUUUAUUAAAAAGAAUUGGGUAGAGUGGGUUCAACCUAACUAUAGGAAUUACUGCACCAUGAGAAAUGUCUACAGAAAAAGCAAAAUGAAGAUAAGCCAGAAAAGGGGGGAAAAAUGAAAUGCUGAAGAUUUGGGGCUACCCAGUUCUAACCCAGAGUCUGAAAGAUGCCAACUGACAAAAUAUUUUUAAGUAUUGAGUCUUGGUAAAGACCCUUUUUGCCUCUGAGGUUAUUCUUUCCCCACCUCUGCUUAUUCUAGGACUUGAACCCAGGAACAUUCUACCACAGAGCUACAUUCCCAGUCCUUUGUGUAUUUUAUUUUGAGGCAGGGUUUCUCUAAAUGGCUCAGUCUGACCUUGAACUUGUGAUCUUCUUGCUUCCACCUCUGGAGUUGCUGGUAUUAUAGGCAGCAUGACUAUUCUUAAUAGGCAUAUAUCGAGUACUAAAUGUCACUUGGGUUUUGUUAUUUGUUUACUCAAGUUUUCAGUUUUUUCUCUCCCCUAAUUGUUGAUUUUUAAAUCUACCAUCAUUUUUGUUUAUCUCUGUCUAGCUUUUUUUUCCUUCUUUUCCCUAGAGUAGUCAGUGAAAUUCAGCUUUUUGCCAGAAGAGACUGAUUCAGGCCACAGUAAUGAAAUGAUAAAAUAGCAACUCUUUUGUUACUUCUGGGAACUCUUACAUUUGUCCCCAGUGAGAUUAGAGAAUUAGAAUUUGGGAAGAGAAAAAAGGGAAAUAGAAUUGGGGAAGAGAAAAAAGGGAAAAUCUUAAGAUAUUAUCUAGCUCUGUGAUUCUAAAAUACUUAUUUGGAGCAAAUACAAAGCUAUUUUUCUAACACACAUGGUACUGUGAUAAUUGCUUACAGCAUGAGUGACCCGUGAUGGGGGUAGAGUAUAUAUUUUGAUUUCCCCAUGGGGCAGCCACUCAGCACUCAUUUAUUUAAAUGAUACUUGCAGUAUUGCCUCUUUUCUAUGCCAGUUAUUCUGUCAUUUAUUUUACCAUCACAAAAUCCAGGGGAGGUUAAAAAAAAUUUUUUUUAAGUCACUAAAUGAAUUCAGUUGGUAAUAUGAGAAAAGAAUGUUCUAACAGCUAGGAGAGAUUCUUUUGACCUGUUGUGAGUUUGAUGUUGAAGUUCCUAUAGGAUUUUUUUUAAUAUCAUUAAACUAAUAACUAGCCAACUCAGGAUUUUUUGCAAUAGAUAAGCACCAUUAAAACAGGUAUAUCAGAAAGCACUUCCCAAUUCACGUAAAAAAGUAAAAUAUAAGAUUCACUUUUAGUGAGUUGUGUUAUUUAGUCUUCUGGAAUAUUGACCUCUUUUAAGUUUGUACUGAAGACAACAUUCAGCAAACAUUACUGAGCAUAUCCUGUGCAUAGCAAUGUUUUAGUCCAUUUUUAAAUAGAUACUUUAGCUAUUCAGAGUGUCUUUCCAUUAGCUAAGUAGAUUACUGUAGCUCCUAACAGAGAAUAUUUUUUCAAGAAAGUUCCAUAGUAAAUAAUGCAUCAAAAAGGAAGAUCACAGAUAAAGGUAGCAAUCACAGCAAAGUUGCAGCCCUGCUUGGAAAUACCACAGGAUAAUACCAUGAAAUAGCACUAAAAUUUCAAGAGAAAUCUACAGGAAGAGUGUACUUUAAAACAACUUCUGAUGAGGCCAAAGGUUUAACACUGUCAAAUGACUUGUUUUCUCAGUCAUGCAGCACCUGGGAAGGACAAACUGUUAAUGUUUAUCUUAGGGGGUUAUAGCAAUGAAAGAAUGGAAGUGUUGUGGAAAAGAAAACAAUCUAAAUUACUUUGGAAAGAAUACUGGGCUAGGGAUGUAGCUCAGUAGUAGAGCACUUGCCUAGCAUACAAGAGGCUCAAGGUUCGAUCCCCAGUAUUACAAAAAAACAAAAAAAUACUGAAGUUGAAAAUAAAAUCCAUAGAACAUGGUAAUUAGAAACAUUGGUUAAAAACAAAAUUAGAAAAAUUUGUUAGACAAAAUUAUUAAGUAACUGGAAGUCCAAGAUAAAAGGAAUUAAGUAUGGGAAUGAUAUAUUUCCUUUCCAGUUUAGAGUUAAUAUUGAGCUACAAUUACAUGUAAGACAAUGUUAGGUAUGGUGACUGAUCACAUUAGUGAAAUAGGAAAUAUGACCACAGUAAUGCAAAUAAGCCACAUGGUUACUAACUCCUUAUGUGUUUUUAUUUGGCCUUGGAAUGUGUUUUUUGUACUUAAUCUCCCUAGGGCUUUAUUUGAUAGUCUGGGAACUUAUUUCAAACACUGUGAAGAUGUGACUCAGGAAGUGCUGAGAAGCAGUGCACUGUGUUUUUCCUGACCCCUGUUCAACAUCAUCCUGCAGCCCACUCCAUGCUGAGAAUAGACAACUCUCAUCUGAGGCUGAGACUAACCAGAUUAUGCAGAACUUUCUUCUCUCCAUCACUGCCUGGAGCUGGGGUAGUCAUUAAGCAUUUGGGUUUCUAAGAAUUCCUUGAAGAGCUAUGCAAAGAGAAUAAGUAAAUGGCCUGUUAGUCAAACACAUUUAUUACUAUUAUAAUUAGAAAGGAGAAUAAUAUCAUUAAAUUAAAAAUGGAGUUUGUGGGGAAUUCAGAUAAUCAUCCACUUGUGGUUAAUAGAAAUUUGAAUUUAUUAAAUGAGACUAAUUAUAUUAAUCACAUUUUAUGUGAAAUUUGUAUGUUCUGAUUUUUAUUUUAAUGAGAAAGCACUUUGAAACUUUAGAAUUCUGCAAGAUAUAUUCCUUUGAAUGUUUAGCUUUAGGAGUGGUUUUGUUUUGUGUUCUUUUUGUGUUUUUUCUUUGAAUACUGAUUCUAUGUGUAAUUAGAAUUAAGUUUUGAUAAAUAAAAUCAUUUUAAAAUCACUAAGGAACUAGCUAUUUAAAUGAACACUAAUGAGUCAUUUUGCUAACGUAAUCUCCUCCUGUUUUAUUGUUUGUUUGUUUGUAAUCUAAAAUUUUACUUUGCAGGUUUUGUGUUUUCUUUUAAGCAGUGUAUACCUGCAGGCUCAAAUUAUUUAAAAAUCUGUUUAUGAACACUUUGAGAAAGAUUAAGCCUUGUUUUUGCUUCUCUGUCUUAAAGAAGGGAAAAUAACCAUUGUUUCCCUCUUCUAUCUUAAUUUCACUUUCAUCACUCAACAGAAAAUAUAUAACUGCCUUAGACCUUUGUUGGGACUUUCCCCAGCCCUCACUAUUACACCAGCAUGUUCUGGUCAUUUUGGUAACAUUGAAAAUCUUUGAUUGUUGCACUCCUUAAUAUUCAAAAACUGAAUUUCCUAAACAUUUGUGAAUGAUUUUUAGUGUGUAUUUUGGUUUGGGUAAUUAUUCCUCUUUUUCUUCCCUGCCCCAGUUGAAUGGAUUGCAGCAGUUACCAUUGCUGCCGGGACGGCUGCAAUUGGUUACUUAGCUUACAAGAGAUUCUAUGUCAAAGAUCAUAGCAAUAAAGCAAUGGUAAACCUUCACAUCCAGAAAGACAAUCCCAAGAUAGUACAUGCUUUUGACAUGGAGGAUCUGGGAGAUAAAGCUGUGUUCUGCCGUUGCUGGAGGUCCAAAAAGGUAAGGAUAAUAGGUCAUACAAAACUGUUAUCAAUGUAACAUUUCUUUUUAAUCUACUCUGUCAAACUUGUAUUACCAGAUUGUGAAGACACCCUUUUUUCUUUUUUUUUUUUUUUUAAUUGCAUCCUGUUCUUCUGUUUUCCAUAUAUUUACUACUAACAUAUAUAUAACUACCAUUCAGUCAAAUUAUACCAUACCCUCAAUUGAGUUCAGGUGAAUGCAACCAUAUUCUUGACCAAAUAAAAGAGAAAAAUCUCUUUAAUUUACUCUUAGGAUUUCCUCCCCAAGUGGAUCUUAGUUUCUUCUAUCCCAGGAAAUGGGAGUGUGCAGCUUGAGUACAACAAGAAACAAAAGAAAUACUUUUUUUUUUUUUUUUUUUUUAAGAUUAACAGCUCUGGAUACUAGGACAAGUUUUUAGAAAUUUCAAAAGAAACUUUUGAAAAUUACCCUAUCUUAUUGGCAUCCCAAACCUUCUAUCAGCUGUUAACUCCUUUAAUUAAAAAUCUAACAAUACAAGAUUCUUUAAAAUCUUAUUUAUUUUAUGAGAAUUGUAUUUCAGAUUUCUUGGGGAAAUAUCACCUACGGUACCUUUUCAGGUUUAGAUAUGAUGGCAGCUAGUGAGCCAGACAAUAGAAUCCUCUCCUGGGUUCAUCUUUUUCUUGAAUGACUUCAGAAUUUCUGGUAUAUUGUUAGAAAUACAGUGAAAACAUCGUAUGUGCUACCAUUAUUAGCAUUCAAGUAAAAUUUGUUUCACCAAAAAUAAUAGUAAAAGAUUCCAAAAAAACUGAUGUUUCUAGGGUGGGGAUGUAGCUUAAUAUUAGAGUUCUUGCCUAGCAUGCACAAAGCCAUGGGUUUAACCAAGUUCUGCCAAAAAAAAAAAAAUAAUUAAAAGUGUUCAUUUUUGAAAGUAUAUUAUGUUGGUGACCCUUCCCACAGUGAAGAACCAUUUAAUGAAUCAUAUUAUCAAAAAUGUGGAAGAGGGCUGGAAUUGUGGCCAGUGCUAGAGUGCUUGCCUAGGAUGUGUGAGGCACUGGGUUCAAUUCUCAGCACUGCAUAUAAAUAAAUAAAGUCCAUUGACAGCUAAAAAAAAUUUUUUUAAAUGUGGAAGAAACUGUGAGCUUGGUUCUAAAAAGUAUAUUUCUCGAAUCUAUUUCUCCCAAAUGAUCUAUGUACAAUCCAGUGAUUCAGAGCUAGAUUUUGUUACUGUGUUCAGAAAUUGAUGAAUAUAUGGAAUAUGAACCAAAAAUUAACAGACCCAUUACAACAAAUUGUACCUUAAGAAUAACACUGUAUAUUUAGAAUAGGCUUCCUAGUAAGUACUUGUGGGGUUGCUAGAAAAUAAUCUCUUAAUAGUAUUCCAUAGGCUAAACUUGGUUUAUUUUUUUAAACAAACCUUGUCUAUAGUAGGUGCCUCUCUUUUUGCUCAUUAAAAUAUGAAAAAUAAUGCAUUUCAAAAUUACAGAAUUUCUGUUGGUGUUGCAAUAGAUCUUCAGUUAAUGAUCUUAAAUAUAAGUUCAUUUACUGCUUACUAUAUAUAUGUACAUAUAUAGUAAAACAGUAGUUUUCUUGGAAGAGUAUAAUAAAUGCAAUACAAAUGUUCUAAAUGAGAGAAAAGAAAGAGCUUACACCAUGGACUAAAAUUUUCUGGGAAAGCAUAAUAAUUUAUGUUUGGGAGUUAAAUUUCCCCUGAAAAGAUAGGUGGUAUAUGAAUAUGCUGCAAGUAUUCGGAACCCAUUUUCAAAAUCUUCAAUAAAAGGCUCAUAUGAGGAAAGGGGUAUUGGGUGAAAACCCUAGUCUGGUCCUUGCACGAGCCCCUCUUUCCCCCAGGGAAUAAAUCUAAAUUGAGGAGAAUCUGAGUGACCGUGUGAGGAAUUUGUCCUUCCAGGCAUGCAGAAGUGGUAGGAUACAUAGUUUUCAGCAGGGAUUUCAGAUAUAAAGUUAUAAUACUUACAUCAGAGUGUUAGCUGUAUAAGUGUGUGUCCGGGGGUGGGGGGACAAACAGUUAAACAUUUUGAGGGAAAUAUCAGCCAAAUUUAGUGACUUGUGUUUGGAUGACUGGGGGAGCAAAACUAAAGGAACCAAGUGUGGGAAUUAGAAAGAUUAUGUCAUUAACAAAAAUAAGGAAUUCAGGUAAAAACCCGAUUUUCCAGAACAGCAAUAACAAGUUUAAUUUCAAAGAGUGUAUUUGAGGUGACAGUUGAAUGGAAAUGUACAGCAGAUGAUCUAAAAUGUGGGAGUACAGCUGAGACAUCAGGGUUGGAGAUAGAAAUCAGAAAAACUGAUGAGUCGAGUGUAAGAAUGUAACUGAUCCUUGGUACUGAUAAAAAUCAAAAGCUAAGUAUGAAAUCUUAGAGAAUUUUUUGCAUUUUGGAAAGAGGAACAAGAGUCAAUUGAGGGGGCUGGGGUUGUGGCUCAGCGGUAAAGUGCUUGCCUAGCACGUGCGAGGCCCUAGGUUCGAUCCUCAGCACCACAUGAAAAUAAAUAAGUAAAAUAAAGGUAUUGUGUCCAACUACAUCUAAAAAAUAAAUAUUUAAAAAAAAAUAAAAAUAAAAAUAAAAAAAAAGAGUCAAUUGAGGAGGUGAAAUAGGCCAGAGGGAUUACAAUAAAACUAAAAAUAUUGUGGCUUUAAAGUGGAAAUGGAAAAUUCUCAAAGAUUAUUAGUGAACAUCUGCCUAUACAAAAACAAAAACAAUCAGGUGAAUAAACUAUUGUAGUAGAACAGUUGGAUUAAGCAAGUAGGCAUCUGACCUUUGGUGUCAUUUCAACAGAAUGAUUAAACACUGUGUCUAAGUAGGUUAAAAUGUGAGUUACUAAUAAAGAAAUGCUAUAAGUCUGAGUAUAUGUCAAAAUUACAGUAAAUAUAAAUAGUGAAGGAAAGAAAAAUAAGGUAACUGCUUGAGGGAACUUUAAUAAAGCAUCACUUUGAGGUAAGGAGAGUUUUCCUUUGAUUGGGUUUUCCGAGAGGUAAAAGUGUCCAAUAAAGUAAAUAUGGAUUUUCUUCAACUAAGAUCUCAAUUUUUAUGACAAGAAGGAUCAAGAAUGGACACAAGCUAGUGGUUUAAAUGUUUAUUAGACUUUAUAAUUCAACAAAACAUUCCACUAUUAUUCUUUCAUUUUAUAGAGUUCCCAGAGGGUUAGAAGAGGGACCGCCAUUUCCCAUGGGGAAACUUCAAGAAAUGCCAGAUGACUUUUUGUGUAGGGAGGUGGGGAGUCUAUGGGCAUUCAGUAAUCCUCUUUGCAUGUAGGAUUUGCCAGUUACGAAUUUUCACUUGAGUCUUGGGUACUUGUUAUUCCUGCAUGACUCAAUUAAGGAUUCACUUUGAAUAUAUUCAAGUUAAUGAAUGUUCUUACUCUUCAGACACCUUUGGAAACUCCCCACAUUUCUCAGGUUCCAAAGGUUAUCACACAGCUGCCAAGUGACACAUUUACUGGCUGACUAACAUAAGACUUAAAAUUAACACCUUUGUUGAAAUGGUUGUAUUGAAUUAUAUUCAUUUUUCCCUCAUUCAAACCAGUUGUAUUUAUAAAUAACAAAAUCUAAGCUCCUUUUUACCAAUCAAAAAAUAUCGUGUGAUACAUAUAUUCUUAAGAUGCAAUCACCCAUACCUAAUUGAAUCAGAUCUCUUACUGAUGCACAGUAAUUACACUGUUUAACAUACUCCAUUCCUUCUCUUUCCAGACUUAAUAUGCUGUCUGCUGUUUCAGAAACUGGCCUAUUUUGUAGUAUUAUACAAAAGGGCUAUCCAUAUUUUAAGUAAAAAUGAAAUGAACCAGUACACAAGAGAUUAAAGUAACUUUAGGGAAAGGUACUAUUUGGGAUAGUGGUGUUUUGAAAAGGGGUGAAAGGAAAAGAGAAUAAGAGGAUAAAUGUGAAACUCUGCCUUAUAAGAGAUGGUCUCACUUUCAAAAAGAAAAUGAAAGAAGUUUGUUUGAGGGAAGAGUAUGCACCAUAGUUUUGCUAAAUUUCUGUCAUCCCCCACCCCCCACAUCAAGUAGUGUGUAGAAUUAUUUUCUUUCAUUUAUAACCUGGGGAGUUUGAGUUCUUAAUUUUGUAGGUAGUGGUGACAGCAGGCUUCUGUUUUGGUGAAAGUGUAUGUGUAUGAAUGAAAGAGAGAAAGCUUCCAUCCUAUUAAUGGUUUAGUAGUGGGUUGUAUUGUACUGAGUCCAUUUUUUCAUAGAAGCAAUAUUCCCAAUGUUAGAUCUUUUGAAAACCCAAUUUUGGAUUUAUGGUCUUGUAAAAUCUUAAUUUCUCUAUAUGUAUUUUCAUAUUAUAUCCACUAUCUUGUGUUUUAUUAAAUUAAGGACAUAAAAUGAGUAAAAAAUGUCAUAUUGUUCUCUAAGGUAGUGUCAAAGAUCUCAUUACUUUUAACUUUUUUUCUCAACCAAAGUAAUCAUAUUUCUCAGUUCAGAUAAUGGUAAUGAGCCAAAAUGACCUCAAGUAACUUCCUGGGAACAUAGCAACAAAACUCCCAUUAAAAAUACAAAGUUUAGGGCUGGGGUAUAGCUUAGUGGUAGAGUUCUUGUGUAGUAGGUACAAGGUCCUAGAUUUAAUCCCCAGCACCACACACACAAAAAAAUAAUAAUAAUAAAUAAAGUUUGGAAGAUAAUGUGAUAGUUUCUUUUUUUAAGUGUUUCAGAUAGAAGACACAGAGAAGAGCAUUUAUUUCUAUUUUGAAACUUCUUGAAAAAGACACAAGAUGUAAGGGUCAUUAAAAAAAUAAAUCUUGUGCCUUGUGUUUUUUAUGAAGACCCUGAGAGUGUUACUGUCUUUCCAAGGAAAGAGCAAGGAUCUUUGAUAUUUUUGUGCUUACUCUUUCAUUCUAACCUUUUCUCACACUCUUCUUCCCAGUUUUAAAGAUUUAUAGUUUUCAUAUUGGGUUAAUAGUAUUUAUUUUAUGUACAUCCAGGAAAUUGAGGCAAUUUGAUUAACAAACUUUCUCUGGGUUUUGAUAAUAAAGAAAUACUGGCAUCUUACAAGAAAUUUGGCAGUAUGUCAACUGAAUUAAAAUACCCUUUGAGUUUUUUGUUUAAGUUCUUUACUUGAGGGCUGGGGAUGUGGCUCAAGUGGUAGCGCGCUCGCCUGGCGUGCGUGCGGCCCGGGUUCGAUCCUCAGCACCACAUACAAAGAUGUUGUGUCCGCCGAAAACUAAAAAAUAAAUAUUAAAAAAAAAAAAAAAAGUUCUUUACUUGACAGUUAAACAUAAUUCAGAAUUUUUAAUUUCAGAAGUUUAAAGUUUGAACAAAUUUCAAAAUUUGUUUUUAUUACAUUGCUAUUUAAUACAAAAACUCUUUAUGAAGAUAAGUUUGAAAGCAUAUAUAUAUAUAUAUAUAUAUAUAUUCACUACACAUUUUCUUUCUCUUGCAUAGAAAUAUCAAGCAAGGCACUCCCUGAAAAACAUAAAUAUUUUUAUAUAAUUUGCCUUUUGAAUUUGAAUGCCAAGUAACAUUCAUUCACUUAUACUAUAUUGAGAAUUCUGGAUUAAUUUAAAUAUAUUUUAUUACCAUGUAUAUUGUAUUAAGAAAUUAAUGAUCCUAUCUUGAAAUUACCCAUUUUUAUUCUCUAUUGAAAAAAAGUUUUUAGUCUUUUCAUCAACUUAAAAUUAGAAAUCUGCACUGAAUGGGGCAUGUUCUGAUUUAGUGCAGUAAAUUUUGGAGUCAAAUGAUAAAAGAAAGUACCAUUAAAAGGCACCUGUAGGGCUGGGGUUGUGGCUCAGUGGCAGAACCCUUGCCUAGCAUGUGUGAGGCACUGGGUUCAGUUCUCAACACCACAUAAAAAUAAAUAAAGGUCCACCAACAACUAAUAAAAUAUUUUUUAAAAGGCAUCUGUAUAGGAUAACAUAAAGAACCAAUCAAAUAUAAAUUAAUAGAAGAACAAAAGUGAAUCUAGUAGAGCAGAUGAAGGAGAAUGGGAGAGGAAAGGGAGGACAGGAGAGAAAAUGGGAAAUUAUGAACUGAAAUCGAUUUUCAUGCAUUUUUGUAGCCAAGCGCAGUGGUGUACUAUGGAUGUAGCUCAGUGGUAGAGCACUUGCCUGGCGUGCGUGAGGCCCUGGGUUCCAUCCCCAAUACUGGAGAAAAAAAAGUGUUGCUAAAAAAAAUUAAUUUUAAUACCUAGUUUACAUUUCUUUUGGUACUAAGGAUUGAACCCAAAGGCACUUUACAACUGUGCUCCAUCCACAGUUGUAAAGUGAGUCAGGGUUUUGCUAAGUUGCUCAGCCCAGCCUCAAACUUGCGGUCCUCCUGUCUCACCCUCAUAAGUAGCUGGGAUUACAGGCAUGAGCCACCACUGCCAGGCCCGAGUUUACAUUUUAAAGAUGUAAAAGCGUCAUAUACUAUAAACCUAUUAAAGUAUAUUAACAAGUAUCGAGGAUUUAUUACUCCUUUUUCCCCCCACCCUUUGGCUAGGAUGUUCGAACCCAGGGUAACUUUACCAUUGAACGAUACUCCAGAGGUACAGCUAUUUUGAGACAAGGUGUCUCCCUGAAUUGACAAGGCUGGCCUUGAACUUUCAAUUCUCCUGUCUCAGCCUUCUGAGCUGCUGGGAUCACAGGUGUGUGCUAUUGCACCCAGCCCUUCUUGCUACUUUUUAAAGAAAUGUUUAUUUUUUGUUUGAACAUGAGGGCAGAAAUAGAUUAUUAGAAAAAAAAAAGCAUAUUCAAACUUUAAAUGUUGACUUUCUUAAUAUUUUAUAACCUUUUUUUUUUCUUUUUUUCUUUUUUUUUUUUUUUUUUGGAGCUGGUGAUGCAUCUCUGUGCCUAGCAAACAUAAGGCCCUGUUUUUUAUCUCGGUGCCUCAAGGGAAAACAAGAUUUUCUUUGUAUAUUUCUUUAUAAAUUACUCUUCCUAUUCUUGAUUCUUGUUUCUGGAGGAAGUAAUAUGAGAAAAUAAGUUAGUUUUUGAAGAGAUUAAAACAAAAAUUAAGUGUGCCAUUUCAAUAAGUUAGUUGAGGCUUUUUAUUUAGAAAUGUUUCGUUUUCAGAAAUAUAUUUUAUAAUCCGUGUAAAUAAAACUGUACUAAAAUGCUUUGUGUGCGCUGUUUAUAAAAAUGAAGUCUUUUACAACGUAAACUUUUAUUCUUACUAUAAAAUGAUCUGUUUAUCAAACAUGUCACUUUGAAAUGCUGACCUCUGAUAUGGAAUACAUUUUAGUUUGCUCUUUUUUUUUUUUUAAGAGAGAGAGAGAAUUUUUUAAUAUUUAUUUUUAGUUUUUUGACGGACACAACAUCUUUGUAUGUGGUGCCGAGGAUCGAACCCUGGCCGCACACAUGCCAGACGAGCGCCGCUACCGCUUGAGCCACAUCCCCAGCCCUUAGUUUGCUCUUUAUAGCCUCUUUCCUCAUCUAUGCCAAGAAAAAAACUGAAAUCUUGUGGGUUCAUGUUUUUGUUACAAGGACUUAUUUUUAUUAUGGACAUAUGCCAUAUCCUAGUGAUCUAAAAAAAGAAAUAUGUAGUCUUUUCAUACAUUACAUUUGCACUGCCAUCUACUCCAAGAUAGACUUAUGUCUAGAAAUUUAAGAUAUGCUCAUAUCUUGAAUUUUCCUAUAAUUUUUAAUUAAUUUAUUGCCUGUUUUAAUUAUGUACCAAUAGUUAAAUUAAGAUGGGAUUUCUAUAACAUCAGUCAAAUAUUAUUUUAAUCUUAGAAUUGAGGCUUUGGAGUAUCAUAGUUUGAGAUUAUGUGCCAUCAUAGGUUUCAAGUGUCAGAAAUUAUACUUUGUUCAUUUGAGUAAUGAGGUGAUUGUUAUUUGAAGGGCAAGGUACUGUUACUUUACUCUUCUGAAUAAACUUCUUCAAUGACACAGUAUACCUUCUAUUAAACUAUGAAGCUCACAGAUUCUAGAGUGUAGUUCAAAAUAUCAAGAAAAAUAAAUGCUAGCUCUCACGGUUUGAUGUUAAAUAGAAAUAAAAUGUACAAAUAUAAAAGGAAAGAAAGAAUUUACUGAUAAGUGGACCUCCUAAGUAUAAAAUCCUGAGGAGUCACCAGAAAUGUUAUUGAAUUCUUAUUUUUAUCUUUUAACAAUAGAAAGGAUAUGCUCACACACAAAAAAAAUUAUAUACAGCAAGAAUAUUCAGAUAUGAAUAUUUGGAAAUUAUAUAAAGAAAUAUAAAAUAACAACAGAAAUAAUCUCAGAAGAAUGUGCAUGGGAACUGAAAAUGAAAACUACAAGAGAAAUAAGGCAAAAAAAAUUCUCAAGCUUAUCUAGAAGAAUAAAUAAAUAAAACAUAAUAAAGUUAGCAAAGAAGAAUAAUGAAAGAAAACCCACCCUAUCAAAUACUGGAACUUAUUUUAAAAGCAGUUACCUCUAAACAAUGUGAUAACAAGGAACAUAUAAGUAGGCAUUUUUAUAUGAUUUUAUUUUGAUAAAAUUAUGAAUAAAGGUAUAACAAUUUGAAAAGUGACAACCUCUAGUAAUAUUGAAGCAACAGGCUCUUAAACAGCAUUUUGCAAAAUAUGCCCUACAUGAUUCUGUGAUGAUGGAUAUCAAAGUUAAAAAUGCCCAUAAUCCAGGCAAUUUGAGAAAUUCUAGGUUAAUGAUAAUGUUUUUUACAAAAUGAUUUCUUCAAAAUUAAAAAAAUAUGCUGUGACUCAAGAGUUAUAUAUGUGUUUUAAACAGAAGGAAACUAAAUCAGAAUAACUUGCAGGAUUCAGCUUCUUUGGAAUACUCUGGGAAGUACUAUUAAAAUUUUAAUUUUGGGACUAGGGUUGGCUCAGCAGCAGAGCACUCACCUAGCACGUGCAAGGUGCUGGGUUCGAUCCUCAGCAUCACAUAAAAAUAAAUAAAUAAAGGUAUUGUGUUCAACUACAACUAAGAUUUAGUUUUGUUCCUUUCCCUCCCACUAGAUACCAAAAAGAUCAGUUACAACUAAAAUGUAAAAUCAUGAAAACAAAAUAGAAACUGGGAAUUUAUAUAUAUUCAUCACAACUGUAGAUGCCUCUAUGAACAAUGGUAAAAGGGAAAUAGUAGCAUAGUUGUAUGAAAGUAAAGAGAUUAAAGGUAUGAAAAACUAAACAAAAACUUGGGGGAAAGAUUGCUGCAAAGAUGGUCAGUAGAGAUAGCAUACAAAUUAAUUUUAAAUAAAUAAAAUCUUAUUAAUAGUGCUAGGGGUAUAGCUCACUGGUUGCCUAGCAUGCACAAGGCUCUAGGUUUGAACCCAGCACCAAGGAUGAAGAAAGAGAUUAAUCCUUACAAAUAGGCAAUGGACAUAGUUCACUGGAAACUUAACUAGUAUAUAGACUGAAAUAGGUUUACAGCAUCCAUAAUCAAAUAUCAGUGAAAUUCAACUCCUGAUGUGUCUUAUCCCCAAGGGAUUUCUUCCUCCUACUCAGUAUGUGUAUUUUGCAUGUGCUCCUUAAAAAUCCUAUUUAAAGUUUCAAGAAAAAUCUUUUAAGUUCUGAUGUGUGUGAAUUAAACAUCACUCUAGUUCUGCCAAGCACUAUAUACUGUUUGGGGAUUAGCUGUUCCACAUUCAUUCUCUCUUUCUCUUCUAGUUUCCAUUCUGUGAUGGUGCUCACACAAAACAUAACGAAGAGACUGGAGACAACGUGGGACCUCUGAUUGUCAAGAAAAAAGAAAGUUAAACGGACAAUUUUGAUGCUGCAGACCAACUUGUCAUGAUGUUACCUGAUAAUUUAAUUAGAAUGACUACCACUUCUGUCUAAUUUACCUCCCCUGCGUUCUAGAUGUGUGGUAUAUUGCAAACCUCACCUUUCACAUUCAUGGCAUUUGCCUUACUUGUUGAAACAUCGUGGUGCACAUUUGUUUAAACAAAAAAGGAAAACCAACCUUAUGGCCUAUGGGUUAUUUUGGUCUUGUAAGGAUCCGUUUCUUUAAAUUUAAAAUAAUGGUAUUAGACUAUAGUUGUAUCUUGAGGUUGGUGUAUUAAAUUAUUCUCAAAAUCAUGUAUAUGCAGAUUGUACUUGGAAGUUUCAAAGAAAAUUUUAUCGCCUUUUCAUAUUGCUUAUUUGACCUAGAAAGUGAACAGGGUGUGAUUAAGCUACAUUAAUUUCGUAGUAUAGUCUUAAGAAAAACCUGUUAUAACCUUGAUUUUCUUCUUGACAGUGGUAAUAACACUAAGAAAAUACAGCUUCUGUGUUUUCAACGUUUUCAAUUUAAAUGAACUAUGAAUGUCACUCUACUUAAUUAUAAGUUGACCAGGUCAGUAAUAAAGGGGCAGCAACUUCCUUUGUGUUUAUCUUUAUGGAUAUUUAAUUGAUCCAUUAAAAGAACAAAUAGUAGGAAUUUAGAUCACAGUGAGAAUAGGUUAAAAGUAGUCAUGAAGAAUGUCUUAAAAUAUAAUGCUCCAGAAUUCUAGACCAAGGAGUGGCAAGCACUGGAACUAAGGACGUGGAAGAAACUGAAGCACACAUUUCAAGUCUCUUAAUCACAAAGCCAAACAUCUGUGACGGAAAUAGUAGUCAUAAGACUAGAUCAAAGAUGGGGGAAAAUUUUUUAUUCCUCACUCUGGAUAAUCAAACACAUGGCUUAUAUUAGUAAAGAUACUAUUUGGGAAAGAAAAAAGAAAUUUAUCCUCUUAAAUUGUAUGAUCUUUAUUCUUCAAAGAUUUGAAGACAAAGUGUUUAUGUAAUAUUCUUCAAGACUCAGAUCAGGGCUGGGAUUGUAGGUCAGUGGUACAGUGCUUGCACAAGUGAGGCACUAGAUUCAAUCUUCAGCACCCCAUAAAAAUAAAUAAAUAAAAGGUAUUGUGUCCAUCUGCAACUUAAAAAAAGACUCAGACCAAAAGUAUUUCAUUCACUGCCAAUUAAAAAAAAAUGUGUGUGUAUAUAUAUAUAUAUAUAUAUAUAUAUAUAUAUAUACACACACACACAUACACACACACAUACACUAGAAGCAAUGGAAUAAUUAAGAAAUAGCUUUUUAUGUGUGUAUUUUUUUUUUCCCCUUGGCACUGGGGAUUACACCCAGGGGCACCUUACUGGUAAUCACAUCCCCAGCCCCUUUUUGUUUGAGAUGGUCUCACUAAAUUGCCUAGGCUGCCUUCAAAUGUGAAAUCCUCUUACCUUAGCCUCCCAAGUCGCUGGGAUUAUAGACAGCACCACUACGCUUGGACAUAUAUAAAAUCUAGGCUGUGUAUGUGUGGCUUUGAUUUGAGGAUCUUAUAGGUUAGAAGGGAAAGUCAUGAUACAAUUUGGGGCACACAAUUUGAAAUGGUAAAACAGUCAUUUGUACAUUUGAAUUCUCAGUUAACUAUCAGUCACAAGUUUCUAUGUGCUAAAAUUCAGGUACCUUAGAAGUCACAGGAAUCAAUGAAACCAGACAGCACUCCUAAAGGUUAGGUUUGGGGUAGAAGGUUGUUUUUUAUGGUGCUGGGGGUAGAACCCAAGGCUUUGUGCAUGCAAGGCAUGCAAGCAUUCUACCACUGAACUACAUCCCCAGCCUCUGAUUCUAACAUUUUUUAAAUGUAUAAUUUAACGUACUACGGUACAUAAAGGUUGAUGUCAUAAUUAUGUGCAUUUGCCUCUGUGAAAGGUUGAUGUCAUAAUUAUGUGCAUUUGCCUCUGUGACUGACCUGGACAUGUCUUCAGGACACAUCUCCAAGCAAAAUCUAAAAUCUACCCUGAUUCUAUCAGAUUCUUAGGGUAAAAUUUUUUCCAUGCCCAUACUCCUUUUUUAAAAUAAGUAUGAAUGGGUCAGCAAAAGAGAUCAUCAUGCUUUUAAAACGUAAUUAUUUUAAAGAAAAAUCCAUAACACUCAGUUUCUGAUAAAGGGACAUCCUUUUAAUGGGAAUAAACUAUAUUCUUCAUUUUGAAUUUGAAACUGUUAUGCUUUUUUAUAAUUGGGGCUAGUAACAAUUUCAGAACUAUAAGUGUAUAUAUGUAUGUGAUGAAAUUUGAGAUGACCUACCGUACUAUGAAAUACAAAUAUUGAACAUUUUGAUAAUUCAAGAUAAUUAGGUAAAUGUAGUUUCCAAGUCCUGUUAAAAUUUUAUCACAGGCUUUUGAACUAAUUCAUUUAUAACAAUAAAACAUUCUGUUAAUUAUAAAAAUAAAGUGUUUAUGGUUAGGUUAAUGCAAGAUUCUUUACAUACACACAAAAUUGUGUGCAGUUACUGAUCUAGUUAAAGCACCUUAGAGCUUCAAAGUGCCUUUUCAUUUAUCAGGCAAUUGGAGUGCCUUUUUUCUCAAUAUAAUUUAUGUCUUAGGGAUUUCUGUUAGAUCUGUUAGGUUGAGAGGGUUUUAAUGUAAAGAAUCUUGUUUUGCAGUGAUCUUGAUGGACAUCUAUUCUUGCAACAGACAUGUAUUAGACUAAGGACCAUAUAAUGGAGAAUGAAGCAUUUUAGAGAAUUAGCAGCUCAUAGUUUGGAUUAUAUAAUUUAUGACAUAGAUUAUAUAAUUAUAGCAAUUCUAAUUCAGGAUUAUUUUUCUUGAUAAAUUAUGACAAGUACCACCAAAUAUACUAAACAGUUCUACUAAGUAGG